AUGCAGAAGGCAUGCAUGACUCUAGUUCAACCCCUUGUGAUGAUCGGACGCCAAUCAUGUAGUUUGAGAGAGCAAGAGCCGCCGAAGAAGCGUGGCCGUCCGUUCAAACAGGAAGCCAGCCAAGCUCUUGUGGUUUCACCGAACAGAGCUGCGCCCAAGAAAAAGCAGAGCAUGAAGAAAAGUGUAUCUCAGUGCUCGCCAAUCGAGUUUCGAAAUUCUAUUCUGGACGCUAAGAAGAUGAAUGAUAUUGUGGACCUUGAGGAGUUAAAGCUUAUUCAAGAUCGUAUCAAGAAAGUUGCCGAGGAUAUUGACUGGCAAUGCGUACUUAAAAUCUUGCCUGUGAAACUCAAGAAGCAGUUGAGUUUAUUUCUGAUUGGUUGUUUUCAUGAAGAACAGGAUAGGUUCAUUAUCAAUGGGGUACCCAUUGACAUGAAGCCUUUGGUACACCCGGUUUUAGGCCUGUCCUGUUCUGGGAAUAAAGUUGACCUGUCCAGUUCUCGGAAAGUUGACCUGUCCAGUUCUGGGGAUAAAACACAUGACGAGCAUAGGCAAAUGUAUGAUGUGUUCACAAGAUCAGAUGGAAGACCAAUGUAUGCUAAAGAUGGUUUGAGGUAUCUGACCAAGGAUGAAGAUGUGGUAGUCUUCACCCUUUGCUUCGUCCUGGAAGCCAUGGCUUUCAUUUUUGGUCCAAAGACCAAUAGAUACCUUGAGAGGGAGUACUUGCAGUGGUUCCACAAACUUGUUGAUCUCAAAAAUCUGAACUUGUGUGAAUUCAUUGCCGACCUUCUGUGUCGAGAAAUAAAAAAAUUCAAAGCUAGCACAGCAACAUUUAAGAAGUGUGGGGGUUGUUUACUACUUCCGGUGAUAAACGGACGAAAGGGUUUCCCCGCGCCAAUUAUAUAA
rnacentral:rRNA from 1 species